UUUUGAACCAAGAGAGAUACGAAUAGGUAAUUCUUCAUAUGGAAAGUUUCUUCCUAACUUUCAUUCUCUCAAUUUUUUCUCUUUAGUGGAAAUUGAAGAAAGAGAAUAGAGGGAGGAAAAGAGAGAGCUACAGGAAAGAAGAGGAUAGGAGGAGGAAAAAAAGUCUUGCAUGCCAUUGGAAACGUUGAAGAAUCAUCAAUCUCACCCUCAUUUUUGAAAAUUCCAGGCUCUUUAAGAUUUUGAAACUUGCAUUCUGUGGCAGACGUUAUCCCCAAUGACGGGACGAUAGUCACACAACGUGCCCUGACAGACGUCAACCCCAAUGAUGGGUUUACCGUUAUGCACCUAAGACCUUGGAGGCAUCAAGCAGAGCUGACGGGAAUUUCCCAUGGAACGUCUUCCAGGUGAUGGACGUUAUGACCUGGACGACCUGACCGUCACCCUGGGUCUUUCCAUCCCCUUUUUGUGUGAUUUUUGGAGCCUUGCUGUGUGGCUUGGUACCUCUGACGACUAGUGACUAGUCAGCGGCAAAAGGUAAAGGAAAGAUGGCGUGAUGACACUUUCUGGAGGACUUUUGUUGUAGCUUAUUAUUUUUUUCGUUGUAUUAUGAAUACCUUAUGUUACUAUUAUACUAAUGACAUACUUGUACUUGUAUGCAAGACAUAUGUACUAUUGUAACAUAUUAAGUAUUGUAUUAUGUUUUAGUACCAUAUAUUAAUAACUUAAUUAUGUGA